rnacentral:rRNA from 1 species
CAGUAGCCGCGGGAAAACGAAGGGGGCUAGCGUUGUUCGGAUUUACUGGGCGUAAAGCGCACGUAGGCGGAUUCUUAAGUCAGAGGUGAAAUCCCAAGGCUCAACCUUGGAACUGCCUUUGAUACUGGGGAUCUUGAGUCCGGGAGAGGUGAGUGGAACUGCGAGUGUAGAGGUGAAAUUCGUAGAUAUUCGCAAGAACACCAGUGGCGAAGGCGGCUCACUGGCCCGGUACUGACGCUGAGGUGCGAAAGCGUGGGGAGCAAACAGGAUUAGAUACCCCCGUAGUCCCUGUCUCUUAUAC